UACGUAGGGUGCGAGCGUUAAUCGGAAUUACUGGGCGUAAAGCGUGCGCAGGCGGUUUUGUAAGCCAGAUGUGAAAGCCCCGGGCUUAACCUGGGAAUGGCAUUUGGGACUGCAAGGCUUGAGUGCGGCAGAGGAGACUGGAAUUCCUGGUGUAGCAGUGAAAUGCGUAGAUAUCAGGAGGAAUACCGAUGGCGAAGGCAGGUCUCCGGGCUGACACUGACGCUCAUGCACGAAAGCGUGGGGAGCAAACAGG
rnacentral:rRNA from 1 species